CCAAAGGAAUUACCCUUUUUUUCAGCCUGGCUUCAUCCCACAGCUGAUUUUCUCCCCUCCUCCCCCCAGGAAGAGCAUCUCCUCUCUGCUUUUGGCCCUGCUUUUCUUGGCUGCAUCUCCCUGUGCCAGCAGCACCAUAUGGAGCAGAACUGAGCAUAUAGAGGAAAGAGGGAUGGAUGCCAUUUUUAUUCCUUGAGCUUCUUGUCAGAAGAAAAGGAAAGUGAAUUCUCUGCAGAAAAAAGGCCUGCUUGGACUCAUUGCUAAUCUGCAAGAGGUGCUGCCUUGCCUUGUCCAGCUGGCAGCCAUCCCAGGUGCUGCAUCCAAGUCCCCAGGCAGCAGCCUCAGAUCACAUCACCCCAGGGAAGGACCUGUGCUGGGCACAGCCCUCACCACAGCAAGGGAGGAGACUGCAAAGAAGCUUUCCAGGAAGAGAAAGGAGGUACACAGAGCUGGGCUUGGACAGAGCAAUGCUGAGAUCCUGCUCUGCAGGGACAAAAUGGGUGCAGUUCAUGUCACUUGCCAGGAAAGAUGGCAGAGAAGGCUUGGAUAUUUUUCACCCCUCUGCUGAGAAGAAAUCUGUUUCAGGAAGCUGCUGCUGCUUUCAUGAUUGCAAUAAUCCAUGGAGAGAGCAAAGGGAAUGGGGACUGGAUAUGGGAGGUGUUGUUCUCCUGCCUGUGAAGGGAAUGAGGAGGAGUAGCUGCAGCACAAGGGUGAGGUGAGAGCUUCCCAAAGUGAAGGGGCUUCUGAUGAAUGAAGCCAUGACUAA